GACGAAGGGGGCUAGCGUUGUUCGGAAUUACUGGGCGUAAAGCGAGUGUAGGCGGUUGUCGUAGUCAGGUGUGAAAGCCUUGAGCUCAACUCAAGAAAUGCACUUGAUACUGGAUAACUAGAGGACCGGAGAGGAUAGUGGAAUUCCCAGUGUAGUGGUGAAAUACGUAGAGAUUGGGAAGAACACCAGUGGCGAAGGCGGCUAUCUGGACGGUUUCUGACACUAAGACUCGAAAGCGUGGGGAGCAAACAGG
rnacentral:rRNA from 1 species